rnacentral:rRNA from 1 species
GAUGAACGCUGGCGGCGUGCUUAACACAUGCAAGUCGAACGGAGUUUAUACGGAAGGAGUCUUCGGGCAACGGAAGUAUAAACUUAGUGGCGGACGGGUGAGUAACGCGUGGGUAACCUGCCUUAUACAAGGGGAUAACAGAGGGAAACUUCUGCUAAUACCGUAUAAAAAUAUUUCACGCAUGUGAGAUAUUUGAAAGAUUUAUCAGUAUGAGAUGGACCCGCGUCUGAUUAGGUAGUUGGUGAGGUAGAGGCUCACCAAGCCGACGAUCGGUAGCCGAUCUGAGAGGAUGACCGGCCACAUUGGGACUGAGACACGGCCCAAACUCCUACGGGAGGCAGCAGUGGGGAAUAUUGGACAAUGGGGGCAACCCUGAUCCAGCGACGCCGCGUGAGUGAAGAAGUAUUUCGGUAUGUAAAGCUCUAUCGAUAACGGAAGAAGAUGACAAGCCGUUAAGGAAGAAGCCCCGGCUAACUACGUGCCAGCAGCCGCGGUAAUACGUAGGGGGCAAGCGUUAUCCGGAUUUACUGGGUGUAAAGGGAGCGUAGACGGCAAAUAAAGUCUGAAGUGAAAUCCCGCAGCUCAACUGCGGAGUUGCUUUGGAAACUUAUAAGCUGGAGUGUCGGAGGGGUAAGCGGAAUUCCCAGUGUAGCGGUGAAAUGCGUAGAUAUUGGGAGGAACACCGGAGGCGAAGGCGGCUUACUGGAAGAUAACUGACGUUGAGGCUCGAAGGCGUGGGUAGCAAACAGG